rnacentral:rRNA from 1 species
GAAUUUUGGACAAUGGGCGAAAGCCUGAUCCAGCAAUGCCGCGUGCAGGAUGAAGGCCUUCGGGUUGUAAACUGCUUUUGUACGGAACGAAAAGCUUUGGGUUAAUACCCUGGAGUCAUGACGGUACCGGAAGAAUCCGAACACGCUAACUACGUGCCAGCAGCAGCGGUAAUACGUAGGGUUCAAGCGUUAAUCGGAAUUACUGGUCGUAAAGCUUGCGCAGGCGGUUUUGUAAGACAGAGGUGAAAUUCCCGGGCUCAACCUGGGAACUGCCUGUGUGACUGCAAGGCUAGAGUACGGCAGAGGGGGGUGGAAUUCCGCGUGUAGCAGUGAAAUGCGUAGAUAUGCGGAGGAACACCGAUGGCGAAGGCAACCCCCUGGGCCUGUACUGACGCUCAUGCACGAAAGCGUGGGGAGCAAACA